rnacentral:rRNA from 1 species
AGUGAACGCUGGCGGCAGGCCUAACACAUGCAAGUCGAGCGGCAGCACGGCAAUAGCAAUAUUGUGGGUGGCGAGCGGCGGACGGGUGAGGAAUGCAUCGGGAUCUACCCUGUCGUGGGGGACAACGUAGGGAAACUUACGCUAAUACCGCAUGAUCUGGAGACAGCAAAGCCGGGGACCUUCGGGCCUGGCGCGAUGGGAUGAGCCGAUGUCCGAUUAGCUAGUUGGCGGGGUAAAGGCCCACCAAGGCGACGAUCGGUAGCUGGUCUGAGAGGACGAUCAGCCACACGGGAACUGAGAAACGGUCCCGACUCCUACGGGGGGCAGCAGUGAGGAAUCUUGCGCAAUGGGCGAAAGCCUGACGCAGCGACGCCGCGUGGAGGAUGACGGUUUUCGGAUUGUAAACUCCUGUUAAGCGGGAAGAAAGCCUUGUUUCUAAUACAAGCAAGGUAUGACGGUACCGCUAGAGAAAGCACCGG